rnacentral:lncRNA from 1 species
GCAGAAACCUUUCAUAUUCAUUUGAAAGGCACUUUGUUUAAUACACUUUAAGAUGUCUGCAUUGGAGCUUAGAGAGUGGGCUGUGUCCUAUUUUGAGUGAAAGGAAUUGUGGUAGCAGAGAGGGAGCUGGGGCCAUGUCCUCACAAGGCUGUGAUGUGGGCUUUGCCUCUUCCGUUAAUUUCCUUGCCUGGCAGUGAGCGGAUUCAAGUGCUGUAGUCCAGGGGAAGUAACCGAAGCUAUAUACGUGUUUUAAUUAUUGAACCAGAGUAACUGAUUGACAGCUGUACUUGGGGUCUUAUUGCUUGGGGGAUAAAGAUAGACUUUGCUUUGAAGACAUAAACAAAACAUUUCAAAAGUUAAGGUCCAUGAAUUCUGCGGGAUGGCCUGGAAAUCUGUGGCUUGGUCGCCAGCCACAGAUUUAGUUUCCUAGUUAAAAUUACUUUAUGUGCAUACACACACACACACACACACACACACACACACACACACACACACACACAUAUAUGUACCUACCUGUGCAUGGCUGCUACCUUCAGAGGCCAUUGGAUCCCUUGGACAUAGAGUUACAGAUGGCUGUGAACUGUGAGCCACCAUGUGGGUGCUGGGAACUGAACCUGAAUUUGGCAAGAACAGCUAAUGUUUUCAACUGGUGAGAUGCCAGUGCCUAUUUUAUUAUUUUUAAAUUUAAAAUUGUUAUCAUUUGAUGUGUAUGUAUGGGUGCUUUGACUGCCAUGUACUUGUGUGCAGUGCCCAUGAAGACCAGAGGAGGGCAGUGGAUCCCCUAGAGUUGGAACUAUAGGAAGUUGUGAGCCAUUAUGUGGGUGCUGGAACUUGAACUCAUGUCCUCAAGUCUUUGUAACUCCUAAGCCACCUCCUCAGCCCUCCAGCACCUAUUUUAGUAAUUUAGUUACAGUCAAAUGCUUUGGGCAGUAUGCUCCAUGCCCAAAUGGAACUUUAUUUUAAAGGCUUACAAAAAUAUGUUAUUGAUAAUGAAAAAAAUGUAAUCGCCUUUGAUGUUGGAUAUUUAUGAAGUAAAGGGGAAAUGGCAUUCGGAGGAAGAAUAUUGGACAUUGCACAGCAUAGUUAUGGUUUUCUGUGAACUGCUUUGUACUAGCUUCUCUGUACUCAGUUCUCUGGUGGCCAUUUAAUGACAUUAGCUUAGUUCUUUGUGAAGGUUUUUCCAUGUGUGUGGUUUAAUAUCACAACUUAAAUGGUAUCAUGUUACAUGAGUUUUUCUACAGCGAAAUGUUUCAGGAUACCAUUUGAAAUGUAAAUGAAGAAAAUAUCUAAUAAAAAUGUCUUUGAAAGAAAAAUUUCUAUGUACCUAUCAAUAAAUACAUAAAUACUCAUCAUGUGGUGUGUGUGAGCAUGCACACACAUGUUUAUGCAGACACAUGUGUUCCACAGCCAGGAGAGUACAUUAGGUGCCUCUUCUUCUACACAGCUUUUCUCCUUAGCUCUUGAGACAAAGGCUCACUGAUGGUCAGCUAGGCUGUCGGGGGGAUCUGUCUGUUUCUGCCCUCCCCACACUGAGGGCGCAGGCCUUUUGUCAUGCAUGGCUUGCAUGUGGAUGCUGGGGGUUUGAUUUCAUAGCAAACACUGUUACUGCUUAGAUCUCCUCAUUCUGUCUGUCUUUUUACAUAUAAAAAUUGAAGGCAUGUAUGGGCCAUAGACCUCUGUGUGCACACCCACCUGUCUGCACACACACCACACACAUGUUUAGUGCCCAGUGUAUGAAGAAUAGACUAUUUGGGUGGCCUUACCACAGACAUCCUACGGGGAAUGCUGUGCCCACCAGCUCUGUUCCCUGUGUUUGUUCUGUCUGAGAGG